CCCUUUGGAUCAGCUCUGCAAAACCUACAACAGAGAACCUGGCUAAUUCAUUGGAGUUUGUUUGUCUUCUUCAAUCACCCUAAAGGCCGAGAUCUGAUCAUAGACAUGUUUAUAUACCAGCCUUUGUAUCUGAAUGCAAUCCAGACAACCUGCUCCCAUAUCUUGAGAUACCUGACCACAGCUGUCAUAACCAACAAGAGUCGACGACGGACCGUCAUGAAGGACCUGGUCAAGGUCAUCCAACAGGAGAGUUACAAAUACAAAGACCCUAUAACAGAGUUUGUGGAGUGUCUUUAUGUCAACUUUGACUUUGAUGGUGCUCAGCAGAAAUUAAGAGAAUGUGAAGAGGUGUUGGUGAAUGAUUUCUUUUUGGUGGCGUGUUUGGAUGACUUCAUUGAGAAUGCUAGACUGCUGAUCUUUGAGACAUUCUGUAGGAUUCAUGAGUGUAUCAGCAUCAAUAUGCUGGCUGAGAAACUCAAUAUGACAGAAGAGGAUGCCGAGAGAUGGAUCGUUAAUCUAAUCCGUAAUGCUCGUCUGGAUGCCAAGAUUGACUCAAAACUUGGUCAUGUAGUCAUGGGAGCCCAGGCUGUAUCCCCAUACCAGCAGGUGAUUGAGAAAACCAAGGGCCUGGCAUUCAGAUCACAGAUGCUUGCCAUGAAUAUUGAGAAGAAGCUUGGAAUCAAGACAGGAGAUCUACCACAGUGGGGUCAGGAGUAGUUGUAUCAACCAUUUCCAUUUCUGUCGAAUUUGCCGCCAUCCUGUCGUGAAAUAUUACAGAGUGCUAAUUAUUGUGUGCCUCCAAGGAAGCAGCAAUGACAAUUAGGGUCGAAUACAAUAGACUGUUUAUUAACUUAUUACAAAAUAUGACUUGGAAAAUCAAGCGGAAAAAAUAAAACAUCAAAUUAAUGU
rnacentral:misc_RNA from 1 species